AUUAAUAAUUUUAUAUUAGGGGAGAAAUUCCAUUCGUUUUUAUAGGUAUCUGGUUUUUUAAGAAAUAAAUUUAAUUUAGGCAUUUAAAUUAAAUAUUUAAUUUAAUAAAUAUUUAUUUUAUGUUGACUAAUUUAGUAGGGGAUAAGCUCUAUUAAAUUUCUAUAACUUUCUAUUUAAUUAAUUGUAGUAGGGUUAAAAUCAUCCAUCUUUUAAAUUACGUUAUAGUAUAUAUUAUAUUAUUAUUGAUUUAUUUUUGUUUAGGUUAUUAUUAAAAUUUGAUGAAUAACUAUAUUUCGUCAGUAAUAAUGAUUAAAUUAGUAUAAUUUUAUGUUUAAUAUCUAUUAAAUGUUACUAUUAAGUAAGGAACUCGGCAAAUAAGCGCUCGCCUGUUUAUCAAAAACAUGUCUUCUUGAUUUAUAUAGGAAGUCUGACCUGCCCAGUGAAUAUAAAUUUUAACGGCCGCGGUAUUUUGACCGUGCAAAGGUAGCAUAAUCAUUAGUCUUUUAAUAGAAGGCUGGCAUGAAUGGUUUGACGAGGUGCUGACUGUCUCAUUUAAUUUUUUAUUAGAAUUUAACUUUUUAGUUAAAAGGCUAAAAUAUUUUUGGAAGACGAGAAGACCCUAUAGAGCUUUAUAUUAUUUUGAUUGCUCUUAUUUAGUUUCAUUUCUUUGGGCAUUUAAUAUAUUAUUCUGUUGGGGUGACAAAAAUAUAUAACUAACUUUUUUAUUUACAUUACAUUAAUUUAUGAAUUAUUGGAUCCAUUAUUAGUGAUUAUUAGAUUAAGUUACCUUANGKWUANCAGCGUAUUCUUYUUUCAGAGUUCAAAUUUACAUUAAGGCUUGCU
rnacentral:rRNA from 1 species